rnacentral:tRNA from 1 species
GGGCGAUUAGCUCAGCUGGCUAGAGCGUUGCAUUGACAUUGCAGAGGUCACAGGUUCAAGUCCUGUAUCGCCCACAA